rnacentral:siRNA from 1 species
AUAUAAUGUCAUUGGUCGCGA